rnacentral:lncRNA from 1 species
CCUUAAGGAAGCGGUGCGGAAGCAGGGACAAGAAGCCGGUGAGCCCCGCCCGGGCUGCUGCAGGGUCUGAGCCCCGGACAGGGUGUGGUGGUAGCUCCCACCGGGUCCCACUGGGCCCCUCACCUGCUUCUCUCUCCCCCCAGCGGGAUCUCUUCGGUCCCCCAGGACCUCCAGGUGCAGAAGUGACCGCGGAGACUCUGCUUCACGAGUUUCAGGAGCUGCUGAAAGAGGCCACGGAGCGCCGGUUCUCAGGGCUUCUGGACCCGCUGCUGCCCCAGGGGGCGGGCCUGCGGCUGGUGGGCGAGGCCUUUCACUGCCGGCUGCAGGGUCCCCGCCGGGUGGACAAGCGGACG